rnacentral:rRNA from 1 species
UACGGGGGGGGGCAAGCGUUGUUCGGAAUUACUGGGCGUAAAGGGCUCGUAGGCGGCCAACUAAGUCAGACGUGAAAUCCCUCGGCUUAACCGGGGAACUGCGUCUGAUACUGGAUGGCUUGAGAUUGGGAGAGGGAUGCGGAAUUCCAGGUGUAGCGGUGAAAUGCGUAGAUAUCUGGAGGAACACCGGUGGCGAAGGCGGCAUCCUGGACCAACACUGACGCUGAGGAGCGAAAGCGUGGGGAGCAAACCGG